rnacentral:rRNA from 1 species
UACGGGGGGAGCAAGCGUUGUUCGGAUUUACUGGGCGUAAAGGGCGCGUAGGCGGCCACCGCAAGUCACUUGUGAAAUCUCCGGGCUUAACCCGGAAAGGUCAACUGAUACUGCGGGGCUAGAGUGCAGAAGGGGCAACUGGAAUUCUCGGUGUAGCGGUGAAAUGCGUAGAUAUCGAGAGGAACACCUGCGGCGAAGGCGGAGACCUGGGCCGAUACUGACGCUGAGGUGCGAAAGCGUGGGGAGCAAACAGG